rnacentral:rRNA from 1 species
AUUGAACGCUGGCGGCAUGCCUUACACAUGCAAGUCGAACGGUAACGGGCCUUCGGGUGCCGACGCGUGGCGAACGGGCGAGUAAUACAUCGGAACGUGCCCGAUCGUGGGCGAUAACGAGGCGAAAGCUUUGCUAAUACCGCAUACGAUCUACGGAUGGGAGCAGGGGCCCGCAAGGCCUUGCGCGGACGGAGCGGCCGAUGGCAGAUUAGGUAGUCGGUGGGAUAAAAGCUUACCAAGCCGACGAUCUGUAGCUGGCCUGAGAGGAUGAUCAGCCACACUGGGACUGAGACACGGCCCAGACUUCUACGGGAGGCAGCAGUGGGGAAUUUUGGACAAAGGGCGCAAGCCUGAUACAGCCAUGCCGCGUGCAGGAUGAAGGCCUUCGGGUGGUAAACUGCUUUUGUACGGAACGAAAAGCCUUCUUUUAAUACAGGAGGUUCAUGACGGUACCGUAAGAAUAAGCACCGGCUAACUACGUG